UGGGGACAACAGACGGAAACGACUGCUAAUACCGAAUAAGUUCCAAGAGCCGCAUGGCCCAUGGAAGAAAAGGUGGCCUCUACCUGUAAGCUAUCGCCUGAAGAGGGGUUUGCGUCUGAUUAGCUGGUUGGAGGGGUAACGGCCCACCAAGGCGACGAUCAGUAGCCGGUCUGAGAGGAUGAACGGCCACACUGGAACUGAGACACGGUCCAGACUCCUACGGGAGGCAGCAGUGGGGAAUCUUCCGCAAUGGGCGAAAGCCUGACGGAGCAACGCCGCGUGAGUGAUGACGGCCUUCGGGUUGUAAAACUCUGUGAUCCGGGACGAAAAGGCAGAGUGCGAAGAACAAACUGCAUUGACGGUACCGGAAAAGCAAGCCACGGCUAACUACGUGCCAGCAGCCGCGGUAAUACGUAGGUGGCAAGCGUUGUCCGGAAUUAUUGGGCGUAAAGCGCGCGCAGGCGGCUUCCCAAGUCCCUCUUAAAAGUGCGGGGCUUAACCCCGUGAUGGGAAGGAAACUGGGAAGCUGGAGUAUCGGAGAGGAAAGUGGAAUUCCUAGUGUAGCGGUGAAAUGCGUAGAGAUUAGGAAGAACACCGGUGGCGAAGGCGACUUUCUGGACGAAAACUGACGCUGAGGCGCGAAAGCGUGGGGAGCAAACAGGAUUAGAUACCCUGGUAGUCCACGCCGUAAACGAUGGAUACUAGGUGUAGGAGGUAUCGACCCCUCCUGUGCCGGAG
rnacentral:rRNA from 1 species